rnacentral:rRNA from 1 species
GACGUAGGGGCGAGCGUUGUCCGGAUUUAUUGGGCGUAAAGAGCUCGUAGGCGGCUCGUUGCGUCGGCUGUGAAAACCCGCAGCUCAACUGUGGGCUUGCAGCCGAUACGGGCGGGCUGGAGUUCGGUAGGGGAGACUGGAAUUCCUGGUGUAGCGGUGAAAUGCGCAGAUAUCAGGAGGAACACCGGUGGCGAAGGCGGGUUGCUGGGCCGACACUGACGCUGAGUGCGCGAAAGCCAGGGGAGCAAACGGG